rnacentral:rRNA from 1 species
AGAGUUUGAUUAUGGCUCAGGAUGAACGCUAGCGACAGGCUUAACACAUGCAAGUCGAGGGGCAGCAUGGUCAGUAGCAAUACCGACUGAUGGCGACCGGCGCACGGGUGAGUAACGCGUAUGCAACCUGCCCUGUACAGGGGGAUAGCCCAUGGAAACGUGGAUUAAUAUCCCAUAGUAAUCAUGAUAGGCAUCUAUUUUGAUUUAAAUCUUCUGAGGUACAGGAUGGGCAUGCGUCCUAUUAGAUAGUUGGCGGGGUAACGGCCCACCAAGUCCUUGAUAGGUAGGGGUUCUGAGAGGAAGGUCCCCCACACUGGUACUGAGACACGGACCAG